AAAGAAUGUGUUUUGUUGAAACUUUAAAAAAAAUGUGUGAGGGUUUUAAAGUUCCAUUUAAAAAAUUUUUUUCUGUUUUUGCUAAAAUUGAGCAUGAAGUUUUCAACCUUAAAUGAAAUUUGUUUUUCAGAAAGCUAGAAGUAAGGGAAGAUAGCACUGCAAUAGAAGUCUGGUGAUGGAUGAUUUGCCGUGAUUGCUGACUGUGCAUGUAUUGUAAUAUGCCAUGCAUUGUGAAUCCUUGGCUGACGUUAGCGGCUUUCCUUUGGGCCAGACCCCAGAAAUGCCAAUGAUCCAGCUUCAGUGAUGCAAAUGAAGACCUCAGGGAACAACAGAGUAAUGAGAGAAGGAACCUAGGUCCCUGAAUGACUCUGGAGCAGAUAUGCCCCAGACAUUUUACCAUGCCCCGUACCUCCAAUGAGGUGAAGAGAACACAGACACAACAGAGGAAAGACCAUGUGAUCACACAGGGAGAAGAUGGUAAUCUGCAAGCAAUGUACAGGGACCUCAGAAGGAACAAACCCUGCUGGCACCUUGAUCUUGGACCUCCAGCCUCCAGGACUGUCAGAAAAUAAAUGUCUGUUGUUU